rnacentral:lncRNA from 1 species
AUCAGAUCUUAAUGAACAGCCAAUGUCUUGACAAUUGACGGUGCUAGGUGCAGUCAUACGGCUAUGCAGAAGCAAAGAGUGUUCCUCCUUCUGGUAGCUGGUUAGUCACUCAAGCAGGUUAGUGUCCAUGUGUGAGAGAAUGUGGCUUUCAGCAAAACUGUUGCAUUUCUGGAGGUCACGGUUACCAUCACGAGAAUCCAUGGCAUUGCCAAGUGUACUACUGUCUUCCAAGAGAACGUGAGACGGUCUUGGUAGAAACCCAAAGGAUUUCUCAAGAAUGGUUAAGAAAAAGCCAAAAGCAAGAGUGUUAUGUGCUACCCUUCCUGUGCAAGCAGAAUUCUGAGGAACUGGAGAAAAAUCAAAAACAGGAAGUUCCAUUGCAACAUGGGACUACUUCAUCCAGGAGCAAAUCUGUGGAUAAAUGCUAGAGGCAGUCCUCAGCACUAGUGCAUGUCUUGGCUGUGUCUAGCUCUGCGUUGGAGGAGGAUUUGGGUGGCACCAUUCUUCCAUGUUCCACAGGCAGCAAAUGCAGGCAGGGAAGCUGCAUGGUUUCUGAGGCACUCUGGGAGAGCAAAUGUCAACACUGUGUGGAAGAUUUAUGCCCAUUUAAAAACAAGAUUGAGGUGCUGUUAAUUAGCAGUGGGCUUUCUUCAUAUUUGUACUUAUUCCACCACUGCCUACUGCACAGCCUGGCCUGAAGCAACAGGAUGAUCACUUAUCUGAUAUAGAUAACUUGAUAAAGUGCACUGGUGGUCUUAUGUGAAGCAUGUUCUACAUUUCACAAUAUAUGAAGCUGAUUCAGCUAUGAAUAAUUUCUUCUGUUUUAACGGGUAAAUAUGUAUUUAACAGAUCUAACACAUUUAUCUAAUGAAUAAAUAUAUGUUUAACAAAUUCA